rnacentral:rRNA from 1 species
UACGUAGGUGGCAAGCGUUGUCCGGAUUUAUUGGGUUUAAAGGGUGCGUAGGCGGUUCUGUAAGUCAGUGGUGAAAUACGGCAGCUCAGCUGUCGAGGUGCCAUUGAUACUGCGGAACUUGAGUACUGAUGAGGUAGGCGGAAUUGACGGUGUAGCGGUGAAAUGCUUAGAUAUCGUCAAGAACACCGAUAGCGAAGGCAGCUUACCAAGCAGUAACUGACGCUGAGGCACGAAAGUGCGGGGAUCAAACAGG